CACGUAGGGCGCGAGCGUUGUCCGGAAUUAUUGGGCGUAAAGAGCUCGUAGGCGGCCUGUUGCGUCCGCUGUGAGAGCCCGGGGCUUAACCCCGGGUCGGCAGUGGAUACGGGCAGGCUAGAGGUAGGUAGGGGAGAAUGGAAUUCCCGGUGUAGCGGUGAAAUGCGUAGAUAUCGGAAGGAACACCUGUGGCGAAAGCGGCUCACUGGACCACAACUGACGCUGAGGCACGAAAGCUGGGGGAGCGAACGGG
rnacentral:rRNA from 1 species